AAGAACAUUUACACUACACCCUUAGCUCCCAUGAUUAGAGGAGAAAUCGAUUGCGAUGUUUCCCUGCCCCUCCGGCGGGUGCCCGGCAUCUUCGGCUUCACCAUCACCAGAUUACAAUAGUUUAAUUACCCUAAUACCCCAUUCUUAAACAAUAGACUCACUAUUAGAAUUGCAUAAUUCCGUUAACUACUCUAACACUUCCUACUUUCUCUAAAACAAUUGACUUUGUUACAACACAAUCACACCACCACUACCACUAUCGCUACUACAGCUAAUCAUUAUCAACAACAAAACGUGGAAUUCUUUUCGUAGUCUCUUGACUUGCUAGAAAUAGCAGCUAAAUACCAUUCAUCUCACGCUCUACCGUCUUUAAAAAAGAAGUCACAUUGUAAUGUAGUAACAGAUGUACUAUGACUGAACUAAUGGGCAGAACAGUCACGGCUGGAACAUCUUUGAUUACAGCUCCGCUCUGUCAAGCUGACCUGGGGCUAAAGAACAUCAUUACCAUUUCGUGCCAACAAAGAAACCUUUAUGUUGUCACUCGACUUGCUAGAAAUGGCAGCCAGAUCUGUCUCAAAUUAUAUCCCGAAAUCUUAAAAAAAACCCCAGACACGUGUGUAUUCAGAAUAAUGUAAUUUUAGAUAUGUUAUAACUUGAAAGGUGCGAUUGUCACGGUUGGAACGCAUUUUAUCCUUUGUUCAAUCAGUAUUGAUCUGACGUGAACAACAGCACUGACAACUACAAUAUUGCCACUACCACAACUUUAGCUUUGCACUCCUUCAUACAACAACACUACACCACUGCAUUAUAGUUCUACGAUUCACUUGUCAGCCCCUACCAAUAUAUUUCCAAACACAAUAGACUCCAUAACAACGACGACUGCAGUUUAACAGCAACGACCAAACAACCGCUCCGUUAUCACUACUAACAACAAAUAUCGGUCAAAUCUCCCUUAAUUCACACACUGUUUUCUUUAAAAAUAAGAAAGAACACAUUGGAUAACGAAAUCCGCUGUCUGAAAAAGAAAGAAAAAGUGAAAUGAUCACGAUUGGAAUGCUUUCGAUCAUAAGCCUACUCGAUCGGCUUUCGUCUUGUGUUAAACGAUAGCAAUAACAAAACGUCAGUAUAUUUAAAGUUCUUUAUUUACCCUGUUAUUCCCCUCUAGUUUUACUAAAUAUAAAGGACUACCAAAAUAAUACUAUAGUUGUGAAAGUUCUGUCGUUAUCCUGUCAUCCCCCAUCAAAUUCUCUAAACACAGCAGACUAUACCAUAACGACAGUUAUGGGGGGGGGGAGUUUCUUAUGUUUAGAUUCGAAAGUUUUUUUAAUAAUCCUGUCAUCCCCAUUAACAUCUCUAAACGUAACGGACUCUGCCAAACCACUACUACAGCAAAAGUUCUAUAAUAAUCCUGUCACCCCUCCAUCAAUUUCUCUAAACGUUAUGGACUCUGCCCGUACCACAAGGAUAAUAUAGUUGCGAAAGUUCUAUAGUAAUAGUCAUUCCUCAUCCAUUUUUCUAAACGUUGUAGGCUCCACCAUCACUACACUUUGAGACAACAUAGUUGCGAAAGGUCUGUAAUUAUUCUGUCACCCCCACCUCGAUGUCUCUAAAUGUAAUGGACUCUGCCAGUACCGCUAUGACAAUAUAGUUGCGAAAGUUCUAUAAUAAUCCUGUCACUCCCCAUCAAUUUCUUCAAACGUAAUUGACUUCACCAACACUACUGUGAUAGCAUAGUUGUGAAAGUUCUAUCGGUAGCCUCUGGUAUUCCCCACUUAAAUUUUCCAGAGUAGACUCCACCCCUACGACAAUAGUUACCAAAGUUCUAUAAAUAUUCUGUCAUCCCACAUCACUUUCUCUGAACACAUUAGAAUUCACCAUCACCACUACUAUAACAAAAGUUUUCCAACUCUCCAAUCUAGCUACCCCACCCCACAAAUUUCUCUUAACACAAUAGACUCCACCGCCAUCCAUCGUCCCGGCUCCGCCACAACCUUCACAACAGCAGAGUCUCAACAAGUUCUUGCUAAAACAGGAAGCAACGAAGUGGCGGUGCUGAGAGGGUUGUUCUGUAGGAGGUUCAUCAGCUGCCCUCAUUGUUCUCACUCUCUCUUUCUUCCUUUCUCUCUCUAUGUGACUAAUAGAAAAUAACUGUAUAAAACAUAGACUGACAAAAUGUGUGUGUGUAUAUAGACACAUAUAUAUAUGUAUUCUUUGUAAUUCUACUUCGCGAGUUGGUACAGCACCAUAGUUUUGUUUCACAGAGAAACACACCACAGACCUGUAUAUUAUAUCAAAAGUUUAUAUAUAUAUAUACAUACAUAUAUAUAUAUAUUAAGUUUUCUAUAUAAUAUCACAUCAUCUAUGUACGAAUUAUCAUAUAUUAUACAUUUUUAUAAUUAUAUAUAUAUAUAACCAUAUUUCAAUAGUUUCUACAGUAGCAUUAUUUGUUACCCACAGAAAUAAACCGACAGACACAGGAUUGUUUGUGUGUGUGUGUGUGUGUGUUGGAAUGGAAGCAAGACAUCUAGUCUUACCAAAAUGGAUGUACAGCUAAAAGGAUGUCUAAUAUAAAAGUUGCUGUCAGAGUCAGGCCUCUCACCAAACGAGAAUUGGAACUUGGUUCUCGUGACAUUGUAGAAAUCUCUGGUGAUACAAUUAAUGUGACCAACACUAAGGUGGACAGCCAGCCAGAAUAUGGAGACAGUCGAGAAAGAGUUAAAACUUUCACAUUUGACUAUUGCUAUGACUCCUCAGGACCUCCAAAUAUGCCAGGAUAUGCUUCCCAACAGUUGGUGUUUCAAGAUCUGGGCACAGAGGUGCUGGAGGCUGCAUUUGAUGGCUACAAUGCCUGUAUGUUUGCCUAUGGGCAAACAAGUACCGGGAAAACCUAUACAAUGAUGGGUGAAGGGGAGGAGUAUGGUCUCAUCCCUCGGAUAUGUGAGGCCCUCUUCAGCCGGGUUGAUGACUUCAUUGAUGACAAUUUUACAUUUAAAGUAGACAUCAGCUACCUGGAAAUUUACAAUGAGAGGGUCAGAGACUUACUGCAAGCCCCACCAGUGAAACAAUCAGAGAAAUACACCCUGAAAGUUCGUGAACACCCCAAAGAUGGUCCUUAUGUUCAAGAUUUGUCCCGGCAUCUUAUUAAAGAUAACCAACAAAUUCAGUCUCUGAUUGAGAAAGCUAAUGAAAAUCGAACAACAUCAUCUACUCACAUGCAUCAACACAGCAGUCGAAGUCAUGCUAUUGUUACUGUCACAUUCACACAGGCAAGGUUGGAAGAUGAUUUACCAAGUGAGAUUGUUAGUAAAGUCCAUCUUGUGGAUCUUGCUGGCAGUGAACGAGCCUCAACCACACAGAAUCUGAACUAUAAAGACCGGUUGAAGGAAGGCGCUAACAUCAACAAGUCUUUAGUGACACUUGGCAAUGUUAUUAAAUGUCUCGCGGAGAGGUCAAUGAUGUCAAUGAGUGCAGACAAUGCUGAGAGUUGGUCACAAGGUAGUUCAGAUUCUGUCAUGACCUCCAGUCUGGUGACCCCACGGCGUUCUCGGAGCCUCUAUGUACCCUAUCGUGAUUCUGUCCUCACCUGGCUUCUCAAAGACAGUUUAGGAGGAAACUCCAAGACAAUUAUGAUCUCAACUAUCAGUCCAGCCAGUGCUUACUACAACGAGACAGUCAGUACUCUGAGAUAUUCGCAAAGAGCCAAAAGUAUCAUCAACAAACCUAAAAUUAAUGAGGACUCUAAUGUGACAUUAAUUAAAGAGUUGAGGAGAGAAAUUGAACAUCUGAGAGUGAUGCUGAUCUCAGCACAGACGCGGAAACCUGUCCCAGAGCCAUGUCUUGGAGUGAGUGAUCUGAAAGACAAUGCAGUGUCACUACAGGAGUCCAGUGUGUUUCUGUGCGAGAAACUGGAGGAGAAUGUGGCUGCUGCCAAACAACUGACCAGACACUGGAUUGAGAAGUGGCAAGAAACACAAGAUAUUUUAACAGAAUCUGAUCUAAGCAUUCGUCGACCUCUGGGUAAGAGAUCAAGUUCAAUGGGGGUCAUAGUUGACUCCCAGCAACCUCAUCUUCGUGGAAUGGAUGAUGAUAUUUUGAAUACUGGAAUAGUUCUUUAUUACUUGAAGGAGGGGAAAACAUUAAUAGGAAGUGACCUGGCUGAUAGAGAACAGGACAUUGUUCUAACUGGCCAAGAUAUACAACCAGAACACUGCUUUAUCCAGUUUGUUGAUGGCACAGUUAUCCUUUACCCACGUCACAAUGCACCGUGUGCCAUAAAUGGUAUUGAAGUAACACAACCCACAAAGUUAACUCAAGGAGACACAGUCAGGAUUGGUGAUAGUCUUCAGUUUCGCUUCAACAACCCUGCAGAAGCUGCCAAACUGAGAGAAUUUAUCAAGAACAAAAACAGCAGUGAUUCUCUGGUGAUGGAGAGGGAUGUCCAAACAGAUCCCGAGAGUGGUUCUGCUAUUGAUGCUAUUCCAGAUGUACCACUAAUAAACAAAAGUUUACCUGUGGAACAGGAUCAGAGUGAAAAGAUUAGGAUCAAAGAUGCCAGGGUCCAGUUGCAACGUGUGAAGGAUAAGCUUGAGAAAGCUGUGAACACCUACAACAAGGCAGUACAACAAAUGCAACAGAUACAGAUGCUGCAAAAGGGCAAGCAAGAGGACCUGAUGCAGAUUCUGAAUGAUUUGGUUGCCAACUGCAACCAGAUGCACAUGCAUGUUACUAAAGAGUUGUCCAAGAUGAAGACUAAACAAGAUAAGGGAACUGAUACACAGGCCAAAUCCACUUCAAUAGAUGAGAAAGGGUCACCAGGCAAGGAUAGUGAAUCUCCCAAAUGUCGAGAGGAAGCAUUGAAAGCUGCAAUAGAUGUAAACCCUCAGCUGCAAGAAUUGCAGAAGGCUUGGCGUGCAUCUGAAGCUGAAGUCACUGAGUAUGAGCAGAAGAUGAGGCUCCUAAAAGAAGAACACAACAAAGCAAUGAUGUUGAAGAGUCAGGAAGUGUCAUCACAACUUGAACGUGUCAACAUUCUGAAGAAACAGAGGGAAAAGCUGGAACAACUGAUUGAAGAGGUUGGACAUUUGAAGAGAGUCAGCAAGGACAAGCUGACAUUAAUGCAUGGUGCCAACACAGAUGAAUCGGUUCAUUAUGAUGUACACCUUGCAUCGUUGCUGCAAGACUCUGUGAAUAAACGUGACUGCUUGAGGCAGACUAACGAGACAUCUUUGCCCAAGGGUCAGAAGUUAACUGAAGAGGAAUUAAUGUCUAAACCUGUUGGCCAUCAUAACGGCAGCAGCUGUUCAAAAGCCCCACAGUCUAAGUCAGUGACAUCCAACCUCAAGUGUAAAAAGUCUGAAAGUAGUCAGUUAAAUAAAGACAAAUCUACUGCCAGAGCUAUCAAUAAGCCACAAAAUCAAACUCAGGCUGUUUCCUCACCUUCAAGAAAUGGUAAAGUGUUGCCAGAAAAUAUUCAGCUCAAUGAAUCCGAGAAAAAUAUUGCAGAGGACCAUCUCAGUGAUUAUUCUGAUGAUUCUUUGGAUAAGACUAUUGAUGAGGUAAAUCCUGUCACUCAGACCACAAAGACUGCAGAUUCUACCUCUCAUGCAGGCCCUCAGGUAUCACAUCCCAACUCUGUUCAGAAAUGUGACAAAGAUUUUGCUGAUGUAAGGAGCGGUCAAACCCAGCCUAUGCAGUACGUCAAAGAGGAAUCUACCCAAGUUAUCUUCAAGGUGGGCACCAAAGUUUUGGCUGAGCCUUCAUCCAUGAAUAAAUCUGAAAGUGUUUCCCCAAAGUUGACAUCUGAUGCUCGUAACAGUAAAGUUAGUCCUGGUGGUGGGAGAGUUGGCGGUAAGAAUUCUGUGAACGGUUCUGGUUCAAAUACUCAAGCUACACUUGGUGGUCAGUGCUGCUCAGAUCAACCAUCAAAUCAAAACUCAACUGAAUGCCUUCAUACUCUGGCUCAUUCAACAGCUCAAGGUUCAGUUGAGUGCCAUCAUUCUCCAGCUCAGUCAUCAAACCUUAUAUCUCAGAUUCCAAAGAAGAUUCUUCAGUUGGGUGAUAUACGCAAAGUUUGUACAAGCAAACUGCCCACCAAGCAAGAUGCCAUUGAAAUGGACAACUUAAAACCAGGUAGUAUAAAUAAAGUGACUAUUAAGCCUGAUAUUAAGGUGGAUAGCCUAAAGCCAGUGAGUGGUCAAUAUUGUGGUCAGUCAGUUGAAGAAACAUGUCCAGUAGUUGAAAUGGAAAUGGCUUCAUCUCCAGAUAAACCUGAAGCUAGAUCUCCUUCAGGUAGAAACGCUCAAGAAACCCUCUUUCAGUUGGAUGAUAUUCAUGGGCAAAACAUAUCAUUAGGUUUAAAGGAUUCUCCUGAACUACCUUCUCACCACUUAAUUAAUCCAGUGGCGGAAGGUUCUUGCCCUAACCCAGCCAAUUUUGCACAAAAUUCCAUCAGCUCUGAACUCAAGGGAGCAAAACAACCAAGUAAUGUAAAAUCAGGCUGUUGUCAAAAUGUUGUAGACAAUCAGGAUUGUCUUGAAAAUGUUCCAAAAAGUGACUCAGAAGAAACUGUUGAAAUAAAACUUGGAAAUAAAACAGUUUUUUGUAAAAUUUCUGAUAAGAAAUCUGUGAGGCCAGAAGGCAAAGCUCAGAACCAGCCAGAAGAAGUCUUUGAAAAUGGUUGCAUGUCUAACAGACUUUCUGAGUUUGUUCUCAGUGAAAUGAAAAAGAGACAGUCUUCAAAAGUAGACAGUGUUAAAAGCCAAAGUCCUCUACCAAACACUGGAAAUGUAGAUCUCUCUAGAUCUGGCAAAAGUCAACAGAGCCAAACUAAGUCAUCAAAUAUACCACACAUUAUUUCUUCUGAAAGAACUGGAAAUGUUAAAAAAGAUUUUGAUAAGAAUUUGACAGGAUCAAAAGAAUCUAUGGUUUCUGGAAAGAGUGAACAAACAGAUUUUGACUUAAUUGCUACAAAGAAGGCUGAACCAUUACAUGGACGAGACUGCUCUGAGAUGAGAUUAAGGACCAAAAAUGAAAACUUACCUAGUAAAGUUGCUCUAAAUUCCAGAUUAGUCAAUGCACCAAGUGACCAAUCUUUAGUCACUCCUGAAGAAUCUUGUCUUGCAUCCAAUAGUUGUCAUCUGGAAGGUAAUCUAGGUGAGAACCAGGUAGGUAGUUGUCUUCCAGUCAGAAUAGCACCCGAGAACAAAAAUGUUGAAGCAAAAUGUAAACCUGUACCCAAUACAAAAUGUCAAAAAAAGCCGAUUGGCCAAAGUCUUUCAUCAUCAUCAUCAUCAUCAUCAUCAUCACCAUCAAUGACCCAUCCUCUUCAAGAGUCAAAUGACUCGUCACUUGUUAGAAAUUCCAAACCCAUCAUUUCCACUCACAGCCAUGAGGAAAGAAGCAGUUACUUGGAUCAAGAUCCUGGUUCCAAUGUGUCUCUGCCAAAUAAAACAACCAAACUAUCACAUUGUUCUGCCAGAACUGAGUUAGUGACAGAGUUCAGUGAUGACCAUGCUGGCAAAGCUUGUCCUCUCACAUACAUUGUGAAAGUCAGUGAAGAAGAGACCAAUGUGUUUUACAAUGUUGAGUCGACUGACUACAAAAUAUCCAAAAUCCGUAAAACUUUACCUGCCACCAAAGGUUUAGAUCAAAUUGAUUCUUUGAUCACUACAGAAUCAUUCUGUGCUGACACUGCUGGUCUGGCCAAAGAAAAAUCCUCAGGAGCAGCUUUUAAUCAUUCUUCCUCAAACUCAAACAUUCCAAGAUCAGAGACUAACUCAAAGAGUUCUUCAAAGUUGGCCAAAGAUUCACUACUUCAUUCACUUGAUGUUGGAAAAACAGAGUUGGAAGACAAUCCAAGUUACAGCAUAGACAGAAAGGAAUCUCUAAUAUCUGAUUCCAAUUCUUGCAUUAAAGCAAGUCACGACCAUUCUAAAGAAACAUGUCUUCUAAAAAGUAAGGGAACACUUGCAUCAGACAGUAGAAGCAUGUUACAUGAUGGCUGUCAGCAGUGUUUGCAAACAGGCACUGACUUGCAGGAAACUGUUGUAUUAAAUGGUAAAGUGAAAGAUUCUACCAAUACAAUUGAUGACUCGCACCAGAAGACUCCUACUGAUCACAGCCAUUUGACUUGUAAUUCUUCAGUGGUUGGGUCACCCUCUUCAAGAUCAAGUAAUGGUGAGUGGGUCACUUGUAAUUUAGGAUUGUAUGGUCUGAGGAGAGAGACUAAGCUGAAGAAUAUGACCAAAUGUAUGAGUGAUUCUGCAAUUAGUUCAGACCUUACAGAUGUAGAUUCUGGCACUCUUUCCCCACAGCCAUCAAAUAUUCCCAGUUGGCUCUGUAGUCACCAUCCUCAUCAUCAUUAUAACCAUCAUAACCAUCGGAAUUUUAAUAGACUAGUUCAUCUGGAUCUACCUGAAAUGAAUAAAUUUACAUCGUGUGCCAAUAAUAACCCAAUGACACCAUCAAAACCAUUAGACUUAUUCCCUUGGUGUAAAUCUUCAAGUAGCUUUGUUGGAUCCCUGCUGAAAGUAAGACCAUAUAGUAUUGGACGAAGUAUUUCAGUUGAUGGCUUAAAUGUGUGGCUGUCCAAAGUACCCAUCUCAGAUUUGCAGCCAACUUGUAAGAAUCAUAGUAAUGAUGAAAUGAUCAAUAAAUAUCCAGAAUCUGGGAGACUAAACCCAAGUAAAACUCUUGCAAACACUCCCAACCAAUCUGCUGAGUCGUGCAACCCCCACCAAGACUCAGCUGCAGAAUUUGAGACUGUUGAUCCAACUUUAACAGAGAUGAAGCAGGAUUCUUACUCAUCCAGUGCAUCAUCAUCUCCGACUUCUGCUUCACUGUAUAUGGGGCAAUAUCAGACUGGUGGCAGUAUGGUGAACUCCCAAGAAGAAUUUGAGAAAUUGGAGCGAGACUUGCCCUCUGAUAUAUCAUCACUUCAUUCUGGUUUCAGUGGUCGCCAUGGCAAUGAUAAUUGGCACCAUUCUGAUGUGAUAAAUGAGCCAGAUUUAAUUGGAAUUAAUGAUGACAAUGAUGGAUAUUUAUAUUUCAAGUCAGAUGAUGAUGUAAGAGUUGGAAACUUUCAACGAAAGUUUUUGUCUCGUCCAACUAAGAUGGCAGGUCAGAAGUCUUCCCGGAUAAAAUUUGUUGAUGCAAAAGAACAAAACUUGCAACGAAGAUAUAAAUAUCAUGCCCCAAAUAGUGGUUGGUCUUCAACAGAUGAUAGUGCUGACACUACUUUUAGAUAUAUGAAGGCACCAGUUGUAAAGUCUAAAAAUAUCAAGGGAGUUGGUCACAAUUCAAGUUUUAUAAAUGAUGACGAUGAUGAUGAUGAAUCAGUAUUUGAAGAUGAUAUUUCACAAUAUCAUCAUUCAGGGAAGCGUAACCGAUUUCCAGUGCUUCCUCACUCCAAGUCAGCAUCCACUACAGAUUUACCUGCAGACUACCCAACAUCUCCCAGCAGUUAUCGGUCAGUAUCUCCAAGUCUUUCCUCUGAAAUAGCUAUUGAAGAUGAAAGAUCAAUGAAGUAUAAACCAAAAUUAAUAUCAGUUGGAAUCCAAACAAGCCAGAAUGAAUGUGCAACACAAACUGAAAACCAACCCAGCUUGGCUUCUGAUUUCACCAUUCCUUCGCAUGACCAAAUCUUGAAAGACUCACAAGCAUCCAAUCGCAUGCCAUUUCCAAUCCACAUCCCUCUUUUAAUUCCAGAGUCUGGCACAUUACACUCAUUGCCUGCUCUCAUGUUAGAAACAACCAAUCUUUUAAAAAAUUUAACAAAGCAUUUGACUGUUGAUCCAUCAUUGCCAAGCCCAGCUUCUGAGACCAGUUCAACAUCAUUUAAUAAUAAUCUAAAAUGUAACACUUCAACACAAACAGAGUGUAAGCCCAAUGUGCCAAGUGCACCAGACAAUGGCUACCCACAGUCUUAUAUCUCUGACAAAGAAAACCACUCCAGGGAAUAUUUUCCUAACAUGACCCAAGCACAGCAGAAUAUCGUUAACCAGGAGCAAAGGGCUUACACAAACGGUAAUUAUUCUCAGCCAAGUGAACUCCAUAUAAAUAGGAAUGCCAACCCUAAUUCUUAUUCCUCACUACACCAGCAGAAGAAACGGUUAUAUUUACCUUUGAAGCAAGACACAAGUACUCUGGGUUCGAAUUCUUCAACCCUGGACGCCUUUAAAGGAGAUAUGUGUGACUCAUUCACCUACCACCCUCAGGGACAUCCCAACUACAGGGAAGAUUGCCAGGCUCCAGCUCAACAUUACCCUAGUUACAGAUAUCAAUCCAAUAGUCCCAGUGAACCAAAUGCAUCUCGUCAGCAUCAUAGGUCUCCUAAUGAUUUGAACCCUAACCUUGUUGGAUCAGCUCAACAUUUUCACUCGACCCCUUACAAGAAUGAUGUUGAUUUUAGUCGUCAGUUCAAGUUUAAUCAGUCAUCUCCUUUACCAAAUGGUAACUUUGAUAGGUUUUAUCACAGUAUGAAAUACACAACUCCUUCAGCCAAUAAGCGACCUUGGCAAGAUAUAAUCAAUUACUCAGAGUAUAACCUUGACUCCACUGUUCAUGAUAUCCAUGUGAAUCCCAACUGGCCACAUUCAAACUUUAGAAACUCUUCCCCAGGAGCUCAUGUUCCCUGUCAGGAUUUCUCUGGUCAUUCCUAUGGAAACAAUUACAUGAACCAUGAUGUAGCUAGCCAACAAGGUGCUGGACCUAGACAUCGCUUCCGGUCAAUGACAAUUGCUUCCAAUGACAUGUCCAGGGUCAGGCUCCCAUUAAAUAGACACAAUACUCUUCCUCGCAGUAGCCUGAGUCACUCCCCUAAUCAACCAUUUUUCCAGGAAAACACAGCUUGGGAACCACAACCACCACCAUUCCAACAAUAUGCCACCCUACCCAGAGGAUAUAAGUUUGGUUCUUCAAAUCUUUUAGAUUACAAUAAUGAUCCGAGACAUGCCUUUGAUUAUCCUGACAAUCAGAAUAUAGAAGAUUAUUAUAACGAGGAACUCAGCCUUUCUUUAAGACGGUCCGGUGUUACUGACGAAUACCUUGAACUGUUAACUAAAUCUGUGAAAUCUUCCCCUACGGAACAACCUUCCAGUUCCAAUUCUGUUUCUGACCGACCAAAGUAUAGGACACUCUCUAAUUUAACUUCACCUUCCGACAGACCACAACCAAACAGAUUUAACAAAAGUUUAAGCCUUCCUACAUAUAAAUCAUCACAGUCAAAAUCCCCAAACACUCAAUUCACAUGUGAAGGCCUUGAGACUAAAUCAUUUUCUGAUGUGGCAAAUGAGGUUGGUGCCAGAGUGGAGUAUUAUGGUACUGAAAAGAGUAACGAUGGUAGUUCGAUGGUCGAUUGUAACCAGAACAAUGAUAUUGAUACAGUGAUGAAACUGAAUCAACAGUAUUCAAAGAUGAUCUCAAAAGAGAAAUCUUCUGCCAAAAGUCAGCCAAAACAUUUGUCUCAACGUCAGAAGGAGAACCAAAGUCAGAAACAAGCUCUGGAGAAGAAAUUCAAGAAAUGGGAAGAGGAACAACUAGACAUAAUGGACAUGGUCAAUCUGAAAUAUCUUCCUGUCAGUUUUACUGUAAAAUAUCUGGAAAAGAAAGUGAACCACUGUAUUGCCCAGACUGACAUGCUGUUAGAUACCCUCGAUGAAGAUGAAGGCACAACCCCUACUGAAACUGAUGACCCAAAUAGUUCAAUAGCUGAGGAUCAAACUAAUGAAGACAGUUCGUCUAUCGUUAGUGGAUUCAGUUCAUCGAUGGAUCAACCUCAUUUACUGUGUCACCAAGACGAGGAGACAGUCAGUUCUGAUAGACAGAAUGAAAGUUUGAACAACUCAUCAGAACUCAGUCCAAACACCUGGCUGCAACUUCAGUCAUCCAUCCCAAACCUUCUCACUGACGACUACGCCACCAGCAAUGAAUCUGAAAAUCACACCCAGGUUGAUAGCUGUGAUGAUGUUAUUCAUACUGACUCGGAGAAUGACAUUGAUACACGAACUUACACUCGCUACUCCCAGAGCUCAUUGACUAAUUUAUCAUUAAGCGGUUCUGAUCAAACUCUUCCUGAAUCUCAAUACCAUUCUGUGGAUGAGUCACACCUACAAGGUGUUGUCACCAUGUCAGCUGGAGUGUUUAAGGGCCAUCAAGCGAACAUGAAUGAACUGUCGAUGAUCCAUAAUGGUCUCUCAGAAACGGAGGAAGGAAACCGGAACAGAUUCUGCCAAACUGAAGGGAACAGGAGAUUACCAAGAUAUUUCAAUAAACAGGUCAAUGACUGCAAUAAACAAAGCAACUCUUGUAGCAGUCUCAAUAAUACAGAUGCCCUAUCAGACACGUCUCUCAGACUUCACCAUGAGGAGUCUCUGAGGAGGAAUCGUACUGCUUUGACCCCCAACUACCGAGGAAUGACACCAUCACCACUUAUUUAUCGACAGAGAAGUUCUUCUACAGAUCACUGAAACCAGAGAUAGCAGUACCUGAGAUUGAAACCCUAUAGCCAUCUUACCCUUACCAUUAUUUAUUCUCUCCCCUACUCUGCAAAAAACACAUGAAGUUGGCUGGAAUUCAUUCUCCACUUAAAAUUGAUGCUGAUUUUUACUGAAUAUAUCUCUUAUUUCUUUCUUCUCAGUUAUCCAUCAUCAUCAACUUUCUCUCUCUUAUGUAUUUCCUUCUCUUUUCCUCUCAUACAACACAUUGCUCUCACCUCCCCUAUGAAUCACAUAUAUAACACAUCCUCACAUUUGUUAUCUCAGCCCCAUUUGUCCUUGCAUUGUUGGAGAGUGAACUGGGAGUAUCUACGACUUGUGCCUUUGUCACCAUCACCUCGCUUUUUUUUUUUCUAUAGGUUAACAAGAUUAAAUAUAUUUUAUUUUUGACAUGUAUUCACAUUAAAUACUUAAUUCCUAUUUUUGCUAUAUAUUUAUGUGAAGUCAGAUUACCACACAAUAUUUAGUUUCAUACUUGCUAAAUUUCUAAAUUACUUCUUGCCAGGGUCAACUUCAACUUUUCAUCUCUUUGAAGUCAAUUUAACAUACCAGUGACACAAUGGUGUUUGAUUUAGUCAAUUAUACACCAGCUCUACUUUAAAUAAGAAUUAGUGUUUGGCUUAUUUAGAAUCUCUAAUUAAGGUUUUUUGAGAAAUUCAUAAAAUACAGGAAAAAGAUAUCCCCAUAAUUAAUAUAUAUUAGCAUUAAAAAUAAAAGUUAACAUUUACAUAUGUUAACUAGAAAUAAUUACGUUAAGGAAAAAGAAAAAAUAUAUAUAUAUAUUAAGCCAAUACCUGCGAUAUACCCAGGGUUCUCCCUCGUAAGCCUUCACAGUACUUAACCAAAGUAUAAUAAAAUUCAAUAUUGUGUAGAAAAAUAGAAUUGCUUAGAUAUUAAAUAAUUCAGAGGCCGUCCUUAUUGAAAACAAUAAGUAACUAUCCGUUAACUUGAUUUGCCUUAAAAUAUAAAUCUCCUUUUACUGGAGUUGUCUUCCAUCGAUGCUCAUAAUUUCUUCAGUUGCGUCCCUUUAACAUAAUUUUCUAACCUUUGUCCUAAUACUCGUCUGGUUGUGUGUUUGCAUUACAUAAAUAGAUGUUUUGCAUUUAAAAUUGACUAAUUGUCUUAGAUAGCCACUUUACCAGCCAACGUCGUCUCCUUCAAACAACUAAAUAAUAGGAAGAAAACAUUUGAUAAUCAAGACCUAGAUAAAUUACUUGAAUUAAAAUUGUUUUGACCACGUCAAUUGAAGCUGAACGGAGAGUAAACAAUGUUCAUCACCUUGCUUUUUAGUCUGAUUUGUGAUAUCUUACACCCAGGUAUUCACUGAUUAUUUGUCUGCUUUGAGUGUGGGAUGGAGAUAUAUAUAAUUAGUGUGUACCAGACUAAACCAUAUAUGGAAGUGCCAUGUUUGGGUCACAUGUCACCUAAUAUUUUGUCUAUAUAUAUAUAUAUAUAUAUAUGAUCAGAGAGAGAAAUGUGCUAAAUGUAGCAGGAGAGGACUGAGCUGGUCCAUGCUAGCACUGAUGACAUAGGAGUUAAUAAAUAGUUGCAAAUAUAAGUGUUAGACAUUGGAGUUGUAAGCUACUUUAAUGGGUGACUGUCAGAAAAACCAUGAAAGGAGUGAGUGGACUGUUGCUCUAGUGUUCUCAGACAUUUAUUUUACAUAUUAAUCACUCUCACCAAGUGCAGCUGUUUCUGCAACUAAUAAGAUAGAAUUCCUGUAAAUUACAACAGAAAGAUUGUCCAGAUAGGGUCACAAUCAGAAAUUUUUAAAAAAUUUUUAUUAUUUUUUUUUCUACCUUCACAGUGAAUGUGUGUUUUGACAGCUAACAAGCAGUGGUGCUAGAACUGCGUAUAUGUGUUUUUCAGCAAAGACACAGCAAUGGUGCUAAAGUUAGAUGACUUGUAAAUAAUAUAUUUGUAAAGUUCAUGUUUGGAAAUUUCUCACAUCUUUGUAUUUUCAUCUCAACAAUACUUUUGCAAUUUUUUUUUUCUUGAAGUUUGAAGUGCCUACCACCCCUGCUCUCCUAUUUAAAUACAUAUUUGGUGCUAUUGAAAAAAUAUCACACCCUUAGUUGAAACCUACCUGAAAUUACCUGCAUAUAUGUCUUCCCUCCAUCACUGUUUGUUGCAAAUGUUAACACAAUGCACUUCCUAACCUUUACACCAAACACACUCCUCCUUUGAUUUUCAUCACCAACCCUCCACCUCCAAGGACUAUCUUAACAUACUCUGUAGUAUGACACACAAACUAUCUCUCUAAUCAUCUCUGUACUUAGUUUUCUUUUCUUCUGUCACAGCCAACAACUUCAAAUUACUUAGUGCCAUGAAAGGCACAGUUCACAGCACUCACCAAUGUUACCAAAGAUAUUAAAUCUCUUAAACAUUGUGUUGAGAAUUUGAUUAAAAAAAAAAAACUUAAUAACAGAGGAUUAAAGCAAACAAAUGUUAUCUCUAAUAAAGACCUCGAUUUCUCAGUUUGAAAGAUUGUCUAAUUGUAACCCUUAACAUGAGGGUUUAUUUUUCUAUAAUUCACCAUAUGUCUGAAGAGAUAAUUCUUGAAAGAAACGUUUUAUAAAAUGUUGAAGUUUGUGAGUGGAUUGUCUGAAAGUAUUCAUCUAAUUUAUAUACAACUUUUCAUUGAUUGUUUAAUGAAUAAAAAUAUUAAAGACAAUAAAAA